UUAACUCCUGAACGGUCAUACUGGUGGCAGAGGCACAGAGCAGUGCCUCUAGGUUGCUGCUUCAGGGGAUGUGUCCCUGAGCAUCUGGGGAGAGGAGAGGCUGUGCUGACUGUUUUGUUUGGGGGCUCUUCCCGGCCCCUAGAAAAGCUAGAUGUGCCUACCUGAAAGGAGGACGGAGUAGAGGACACUCUUCCAGAAGCGGCCUGGUGCAGACAGGUUCAACAGCCCCGAGGGUGCAGAAGAUGGUCCUACAACCUUACGGAUGUUCUCUGAGUGCGCGCUGUACCGUCAGACCUAAUUUUGGUCUUUGAUUUUGAGAAAGCACAUUUCAGUGUGCAUUCUGGCCUCUCGUUUUUUUUAUUUGUUCUACCUUAAGGACACCGCGCUGCCUGUCUGACUUCACAGUGAGCUGGACUCGAUCCUCCUGGAGUCACAUGGACUUGCUGCUCUGGAGACACACUUGUAACCCCUGCAGCUUGUUCCAGUCCCCAGAGUGCCUGGAACCCUUGCCUCUGAGAUGCAAGUAAAGAUAAGUACUAAGAAUGUGACCAACUGUGUCACAAACACGUACUGGAUACCCAGCAGGAGACAUUACUGACUGGAACCAGAGUGUCCCCCCACCUCGCCUCCAAGCCAUGUCCUCCUCACCAGCUUAUCACCAGACACGGGUCUCUAGUAGCUUCUGGCAUGUCAGAGACCAGGGAAAGUCAAGUUUACUCAAAGUCCUGGAUUCCUCUGGUUUCUCUACGCUCAGAACUUACAUUAGGAGAAGGCUCGUUCUCUCAGGAGCUCCCACGCGGCUCCUCGCUCUGGUUACACUCUGCUGAUGCAGUCUGCCCAGCAUGGGCACUGGUCUUCCAUGGAGGCACCAAGGCUGGGCCACCUUGACCUUCAGAGCCAUACCCCACAAGGCUGUCCAGAUGUGUCCUCCAUCCUCCUUGUCAAUCUCCUGCCUUCGAUCCUCGGCCCUGAGGCUGUCUAUACCCCCUUGCCUUGGUCUCUGUCUCCCUGCUUAGCAACUGGCUCAUUUGCCAUCUACAAACAGCUUCCAGACACCCUGUUCUUUCUUCUGGCUGUGGGUAGGUCCUGCUCAACUGCUUCUGGGACCCACAACCCAAGGGGGCGGAGAUCCGACUUGUUCUCCUUUUUUGGGCUGCCUCUGCGGCAUCUGACUCCCCUUCCUAUUGAGUGUGCAUUCCGAGUGCCAAGCUGCAGAAACCGGCCACCUGCGAGUCAAGUAUCUUCUCUUUUCCUUGCAUGGAGUACCCACAAGAGAAAAGAGGUCCCUUUCUGUAGGUAAUGCCUCCUCCACGUCAGACAGGAUGUUUCUAAUGGGCGCGUCCUUCCUUGAGUAAAGCCCUCAAAGGAGCCUGACUCCCUGCGCUUCCGGAGGCCCUUUCCCAUCCAUUGGGAAGGUGCUGCGGUCUUUCCCAUGGAUCCGCAAAGAGCGGGUACCAAGGAUCUUCUUGCUGUUUGGUAGCAGAAAACAGACUAAGACCUUGUGGGAAGAACAGAAUGAAAAAAAGAAUGUGAAAGAAAACUAGUUGGGGAGAAAGAGACUUUGCAAGGCUUUCCCUAAAUGUCCCUCCACGCUGGUCUAUUUUCAGACCUAUCCCGUUACUGUUUUGUUCACUCAAGAGCCCGAGUGAAUCGGUUAAAAGCAGGCAUGAAAGGAAAUGCUCACAGAGAGACAAGUCAAUGGAAGUGUCUAAAACGGGCUUGUGUUCAAUUUCAUAGACAGCCAAGGCAAUGAAGCCUGCCACCCAGGGAGGCCAACUCACGCCUGUCACAUGCUCAAGAACCCGGAAGGAGGGUCACUUCCGGUAGUGGAAGUCUGCUCUGUCAAGCGAUUGGAGGCUUUGGGAGCCUUCCCUCCCCUUGCACAGUUUGACACAUUUUAUAUGUAUUAAUGGUAUUCUUUAUGAAUAUGAGGUGCUGGGGUUAUGGAUGAGGGUUUCUCAGAGAUAAAAACAGAUGCAGGAACACAGCGUGUACCUGCUUCCUCCCUUCGAGUCCCACAGGCCACAGGCAGCAGUGACUACACAGCCAUGACAGAGAAAACAGCCCCCCUCUACCCUCUACACCCCCCACCCCACGGUGGAAAAGCCUUCAUCCUUUUGGGGAGGAUCCGGAUUCUCCUCCCAGCCUUUUGGAAUAUAAGACGCCUCUCUUCAAGAGCCCUAAUUUGUCUCAGGCUUUUAGAACCAGAGAGAGGUCUCCAAGGUGUGGAAUGUAAUACCCAGGAUGGUGGGGAUGUGCCGUCCCUUGGUCCCCGCAUCUUAAGAACUUCACCUGAGGUAACAGUAUGGAUUUUAACUACUUGAUGGUCUUAGGACGUUAACUGAAAAGUUUUAUUAUCCUUAUGGAUCAAAGAAAUUUAAAACACUGAAUAGGGUGGAAAAAAAGGAUCUGAGCUCUAGGGAAAGUCAAAGCAAACAGCCAUCUGCUGGCCGUGCAGUGUCUGUGUCCUGGGACUACUAAGACACUCCAAGAGUCUUCUUUUUGCUGUUGUUGUUUUUUUCCUUUAACAAAAUAUAAAACAAAAACCAUCACAUUGAAGUUGGGGAGGACAAACAGAAGGAAAAGUGCUCAGGAGAAGGCACUAGAAUCAGAGGCCCACGGGUUCCCACACUCGGGAAUCCCAUAAAAAAUACUAAAGCGAAAGCUCGAAUGUAUACGCAGAGGACCUGGCUCAGACCCACGGCCUCUGCUAAGUUGCAGAGUCUGUAUUUUGGGUUUCGCGGAUGGAAAUGCACGUUCUUACGAUUUUUCUUGGGGAGGAAGAGACCCGGGAAAGUCAGCUCUGGCCACACAACUUUGACUCCAGAAAUUCCACUUUGUGAAGUCAAAAGGAGUUGUCACAGGCUUCCCGUGACAGGUUGGCUGAGACUGACAGAGCCGAAAGCACAAUGCAAGGAAGAAAUGCAGCGGACGUCGCAGAGCCAGAGUGACAGGGAGAUGAGGAGGGAGGUGCCCCACCCCACCCCACCCCGCGAAGACGGCACCCUUUUUUUUUUUCUCUCUGUGAGUUGUAAAGCUGGAAACAGAGGAAACGGCAACUUUGCUGACUUGUGUCAAUGUUUGGUCAAUGUUGGCAACUUUUCCUUUGAGAAUGUGUCUGAUCGUGGACCUGAGAGACCAGCUGUGACUGCAGACCUGAGCUCUUGGCUUACUACAUGAAGUAUGGUGCUCGUUGUUUUUAGAUGAUCCUUCUAUAUCCUGAUCUGGAAUACUUUUCAUUGUCUACUUAAGUGAAAACUGGAAAACACAGCUCUUGCUCCAAAAGGAAGAAGAGAAUUUGUUUUGAGCCAAAUAUGAACGGCCAAGGCCCAGAAACUCACAUAGAGGUUAUCUUAAAUGUGCUCGUACUCUCCUCCAUGGAAGAGGCUAUAUGAAUGUUCAUAAUAUAGAACAAAAGGUCAAAUAUUAAUGCAUUUAGUCACUCAAGAGAAAGGAAAUCUCUUCAAAAGGACCCGGGUUUGGGUUUGGGGCUGGUGGGAGUUGGUCAUUAAUGGCUUUUAAAUGGGACUGAAGUUAGCCGGAGAUCCGUCUGACACCUGAUCUACAACACCUCCGUCUCCUGGCCUGGGCUUCUGAUUGGUCAAUUGCUACAGAAUCUUCUAUGUGGAUGUUCAGGGAACUGCAAUUCCCAGCAUGGGGAAACAUAUGGCAACAUUGUCUUUGGCAGAAUAUGGACCAGAAGAGUAUGCAUGCCUAGCUCAGUAUCAAUGGAAAUAGAAAAUUCCGUGAGUCUGUGCUUAAGGAACAGACUGCAUCCGCUCGUGGAUGAGGACUGGGCUGUGAUAAGAACAAAUGGAAGUAUUUUCUUAGGGGCUCAGAUUUAUUCACUCAGCAAAUAUAUUGUCUACUCUGCGCCAGGCACUGAAUUCUUCUCGAAGACUCGGUGCCGGACAGCAGCCUCCACCCCGUAGAAACUGCCCUCCAGUAGUAGGGCUGAGGCAGACAGAGAUUACAGUCGGACAGAAACCGGUCCCAAAACGUCAGGGGGCAGAAACGCCUUGAUGAAAAAUUAAAUCGGGUGUCCCAGAGAUGGGGCUGCUAUUUUGAAUGGGGUGAUGAGGGAAGGUUUCUCUCUAGGAGGUAAUAACUGGGCUGAGACCCAAAGAAAGAGGGGUGCCAGGCAAGCGCUUUCGUGUCAAGCAGCAUGUUGUGGUUCGUUUCCAGUCUGUCUCCAGGGACUCCGGUUCAGAGCACCCCAAGCCCAACCCUAGCACAUUCUGGGUGAUCUUCUAGUGUCAGAAGACACCUGGGUCCAUAGCCUGCCCCUCCGGUCUCUCUGCAUUCCAAAAAUGUGUGUGUGUGUGUGUGUGUGUGUGUGUGUGUGUGUGUGUGUGUGUGUGUGUAAACAGAUUGGUAAAGAAAAAUGGAUUUAUUUACAGUUUGGAGAAAACAGGCAAAGGCUUUGCCUUUUCUCCUGCAGUGUCCUGUAGUGUUGUGUUGCCUUUCAUGUGUGCAUAAAGACAUACAUGUACAAGAAGUGUGCCACUCAGAGGACCCUACCAGGUGCAAGGUUCUGGUGCCCGGCUCUCUCUUUCCAGGGACAUCCCGGAGAAGUCCCAAUUCCUGUUGGUUUCCUCGGGACUUGGGGGUACCGCGUUCUACCAGCACAGAGCAGAGGUGUGGCUAUCAUCUGCCCUCUCUCCCCUGGAAACACACCAGGUGCUGUUGAUUACACGAACCAGCACCGUUCCGGAGAGAGUAAGAUGUGAGAGCGGAGAGUACGCCCUCUGGAGAGGCAUAUUCCAGGCUCAGCUCCUGCUUUCCUAUUAGGUAACCUUGACCCUGACUCCUCAGUAACGUUUAUCUCUAAAACAAGGAGUGAUUUCAACUGCCCCCACAGAAACAAUGCUUUUAAAGACUUCAUCAGUGUCUGGUGUAGGGGAAGUGUAAAUCUGUAGCUUACUGUUGUUACUGCUACUAACUUGAGCGAGUCAGCUCUUGUGGAACUUGGAGAAUUCUUGUCCUCCAACUGGAUUGAGUACAGUUGACAAAUAAAGCUUUCCUGUAUUUAA